CUGGGACCCUGCUGAGUCAUAGCUUCCUCUGGCGGCUUGGAUUUAUUUUUAAUUGUAUGUUCUGAACAGAUGGAAAUUUCUUGGCUGUUGCGAGUGAAACUCUGGAUAUUUGGGAAAUAGAUCCAGAAGGAAGUGGCUGGGAUAUGAGUCACGCAGCCAUCUGAACCCUGAUGGGGUCCGAGAAGAACAGAGUCCUCGCAGUGGGGCCUCCAAGCAAAAUAACAAAUAGUAACUGACACAGACGACAUCGCUGAACUGGAUAUUCACAGCAUCCUGCAGAAACUGACUGGAGAAGUUGGGGCACCGGCUGGAGAUCCCCAGGGAGCCCCAUUGAGCUUUCUCCAGGUGGCCGAGCUCCCCACAGCGGCACUGACGUUCUCUAUGGCCUUUGUCCUGGUAAGACCAUACCACUAAGGAGGAAAAGCCCAUCCAGUUGGAAGUCUGGAGUUCAAAACCACCCUCCUCAGGGCUGCAGGCCAUGAGGCUGAGAAAAGCAACGUAAGGAAGAGUUGAUUUUGGCUUACAGUCUGAGCUCAUCGUGGAGGAAAAGUCACAGCCUCAAGAGGCAGGGCAGCUUGUCACGUAACAUCCAUAGUCCCCCCAUGCCCCCCCAAAAAAAAGAAAAAGAAAAAAAAGAAAAGAAAAUUUUGUGUGUGCAGUGAAUGUAUGUGCCCAGCCUGGUUCUCCAUUUUAUAGUCUAGACUCCCUGCCCAGAGAAUUGUGCCAACUCACAGUGAAUGGUCUUCUCACUUGAAUUAACCCAAUCAAAACAAUCCCCAACAGGCAUGCCCAGAAACCCAUCUCUCCCGUGACUCUAGAUCUCAUGAAGUUGACUUAAGGGUGACCACCACACCAGGUACCUCAGACACUCCUGGGGAACCGCUGUCGGAGGACGGUAGCAUGGAGCAGUUCUUAGGGGCUCGCCCUGCCAGACACGACGAGGAGUCUUGGGCCCCCUAACAGAUGGCAAAUGGAUGUGCGAGUGAGUACCCACGGGACAGGCAGCUGUGGCUCUGACAUCUCCCCAGAUUCCUUGGACAGCUGGGAGGCGGCCUGUGGCUUCCACCUCACUGC